rnacentral:rRNA from 1 species
AGUGAGAUCUCCGGAUUGGCUUUGGGAAGUCGGCAACGACAUCCUAUUGCCGAGAAGCUGCUCAAACUUGGUCAUUUAGAGGAAGUAAAAGUCGUAACAAGGUUUCCGUAGGUGAACCUGCGGAAGGAUCACUAGUGAUUAAACCGGAGAGCGUCUUCAUUGACCUCUCCAACCCUUCACAUCCACAUACACCCUGUGAACCGUUUGGCUUUGUUGAGCUGAAAGUUGAAAGAAUAGGCUUGCAAAAGUCUAGUCGGACGAUGGACAGAUCGCAAGGUCAUCAUCAUAUACAUACACGAAGUCUAAUGAAUGUAAACGUUUUAUAUAAACAAAAUAAAACUUUCAACAACGGAUCUCUUGGUUCUCGCAUCGAUGAAGAACGCAGCGAAAUGCGAUAAGUAAUGUGAAUUGCAGAAUUCAGUGAAUCAUCGAAUCUUUGAACGCACCUUGCACUCUCUGGUAUUCCGGAGAGUACGCCUGUUUGAGUGUCAUGAAACUCUCACUCCUCAUCUUUCUUUAUUGAGAGGUAGGGACGUGGAUUUGGAUCUGUUGCUGGUGAAUCUGAUUCAUCGGCUCGUCCGAAAUAUAUUAGCUGGAUCCUCUUUGUCAAUUGGUUCUACUCGACGUAAUAAGUAUUUCGUCGAGGACGGUCUUCGGAUCGGCCGAUAGAAAGAGUCUUUUUUUAGAUCCGCUUCUAAUCCGUGCGAUUUUAUUAUCCACACACUUUUUAUGAUCUGGCCUCAAAUCUUUUUAUGAUCUGGCCUCAAAUCAGGUGGGACUACCCGCUGAACUUAAGCAUAUCAAUAAGCGGAGGAAAAGAAACUAACAAGGAUUCCCCUAGUAACGGCGAGUGAAGCGGGAUGAGCUCAAAUUUAAAAUCUGGCAGUCUAAGAUUGUCCGAGUUGUAGUCUAGAGAAGCGUUUUCCGCGUAGGCCUGUGUACAAGUCCCUUGGAAUAGGGCGUCAUAGAGGGUGAGAAUCCCGUCCUUGACACAGAUCAUCUAUGCUCUGCGAUGCGCUCUCGAAGAGUCGAGUUGUUUGGGAAUGCAGCUCAAAAUGGGUGGUAAAUUCCAUCUAAAGCUAAAUAUUGGCGAGAGACCGAUAGCGAACAAGUACCGUGAGGGAAAGAUGAAAAGCACUUUGGAAAGAGAGUUAAACAGUACGUGAAAUUGUUGAAAGGGAAACGAUUGAAGUCAGUCAUGUGGUUUGAGGUUCAGCCGGUUCUGCCGGUGUAUUCCUCAGACUACAGGCCAGCAUCAGUUUCGACCGGUGGAAAAAGUUGGAGGGAACGUGGCAUCCUCGGAUGUGUUAUAGCCCUCUUUCACAUGCAUCGGACGGGACUGAGGAACGCAGCGUGCCUUUAUGGUCGGUCUUCGGACACGAACGCGCUUAGGAUGCUGGCAUAAUGGCUUUAAACGACCCGUCUUGAAACACGGACCAAGGAGUCUAACAUGUUUGCGAGUAUUUGGGUGUCAAACCCGAGUGCGCAAUGAAAGUGAAUGCA